rnacentral:rRNA from 1 species
ACUCCUACGGGAGGCAGCAGUGGGGAAUCUUGGACAAUGGGCGCAAGCCUGAUCCAGCCAUGCCGCGUGAGUGAUGAAGGCCUUAGGGUCGUAAAGCUCUUUCGCCAGGGAUGAUAAUGACAGUACCUGGUAAAGAAACCCCGGCUAACUCCGUGCCAGCAGCCGCGGUAAUACGGAGGGGGUUAGCGUUGUUCGGAAUUACUGGGGCGUAAAGCGCGCGUAGGCGGACCAGAAAGUUGGGGGUGAAAUCCCGGGGGCUCAACCCCGGAACUGCCUCCAAAACUCCUGGUCUAGAGUUCGAGAGAGGUGAGUGGAAUUCCGAGUGUAGAGGUGAAAUUCGUAGAUAUUCGGAGGAACACCAGUGGCGAAGGCGGCUCACUGGCUCGAUACUGACGCUGAGGUGCG